rnacentral:rRNA from 1 species
GGAGGGUGCAAGCAUUAAUCGGAUUUAUUGGGCGUAAAGGACGCGUAGGCGGACAGACAAGUCAGAUGUGAAAUCCUGGGGCUCAACCUCAGAACAGCAUUUGAAACUAUCAGUCUAGAGGGUAGAAGGAGAAAACGGAAUUCCACAAGUAGCGGUGAAAUGCGUAGAUAUGUGGAAGAACACCGGUGGCGAAGGCGGUUUUCUAUUUUAUUCCUGACGCUGAGGCGUGAAAGUAAGGGGAUCAAAMAGGAUUAGAUACCCUGGUAGUCCUCCGUAAACGAUGUAU